rnacentral:rRNA from 1 species
CCUACGGGAGACAGCAGUCGAGAAUCAUUCACAAUGGGGGAAACCCUGAUGGUGCGACGCCGCGUGGGGGCAUGAAGGUCUUCGGAUUGUAAACCCCUGUCAUGUGGGAGCAAAUUAAAAAGAUAGUACCACAAGAGGAAGAGACGGCUAACUCUGUGCCAGCAGCCGCGGUAAUACAGAGGUCUCAAGCGUUGUUCGGAAUCACUGGGCGUAAAGCGUGCGUAGGCUGUUUCGUAAGUCGUGUGUGAAAGACGCGGGCGCAACCCGCGGACGGCACAUGAUACUGCGAGACUAGAGUAAUGGAGGGGGAAGCGGAAUUCUCGGUGUAGCAGUGAAAUGCGUAGAUAUCGAGAGGAACACUCGUGGCGAAGGCGGGUUCCUGGACAUUAACUGACGCUGAGGCACGAAGGCCAGGGGAGCGAAAGGGAUUAGAUACUCGAGUAGUC